rnacentral:snRNA from 1 species
AUCUUUGCUCAGUGAUGGUAUCAUAGCCAAUGAGGUUUUUCCAUGGCACGAUUACAGCUAAUUAAAAACUAAAUAAAAAUAUACAGUUUAAUAUAUAAACUAUUUCAGAAA